UUGUGCCUCAUGUCACUAAGGCGCUCGCUUGUGCCUCGCAUCUAGGCUCCAAGACCCUUUUGCGCAUUGUGCCUUUAACAACUAUGUUUUGAUAAUUCUGCUAUCUUUCUAUCUCAUUUCUAGUCUCUCACCUCACAUAUCUCUAUGUGCCAAACUUGGACCGGUUACUUUCCGUGGUGAACCCAACAAUAUUCUUCAACCCUCUUUGAGCUUCAGCUGGGUUCUUUUUUUGCCUGAAAAAAUGUGAAAAUCAAGAAGAAUUCUAGAAGUUGUUAUCAUUGAAACCAAACCCACCAUGUUUUCCAAUGUUUCCAAUGUCAAGGAGCAACCUUUCUUUGUCAUCCAUCUCUAUGGAAAAAGUUUGGGGAGCAGAUCAUAAAAUUGAAGUAAUUGGAUUUUCUACUGUUGAUUUGUGUAGAUGGUGGUUGUUUACAUUGCAUGGAGGGCACAAUGAUGCUCCCCAGGAGGUCUGAACCUCCAUCUGGUCUCAGUCCUCUCUGGCAAUAUCUCUAAUGGCCAGCAAGGGCGAGUGAGCAAGAGAGGAAGAGAGAAAAGGUAGUAAUGCAGAAUAGGAAGAUUAUAUUCCUAAUACAAUUUAUGAAUUAUAUUCCAUGUAAAAUGGGAAAUUUAAAAAUUUUAUUUUUUAGUAAUUUUAUUCUUAUUAGG
rnacentral:misc_RNA from 1 species